rnacentral:ncRNA from 1 species
UUAAAUACGAUGAAGAGAACAUGAACAAUUCAGGAAAUCUUUAAGCGAGUCAAUGAUUGGUGUGAGAUUGACAGGUGAGUACUGAGUGGUUAAUCAUCUCUGAGUGUUUAGUUGAAUUCAUUAAACUAAACCGGUGGUGCCGUUAUCACUUUUGAGAGAAUUUUUUUAAAUUCUGAAUUUGGGUGGUACCACGAAGACUUCGUCCCUUGG